UCCACUGAGUUCCUUGGAGAUGGAAACGGCUCUCACUGUGGCUUUUGGCUUUCCAGCCACUUCCAGUAGGCAGCACGGGUACUGUGGCAGCAGAAGCCAGCUGAUACACUAAACCAUGCUAAAGUAGUGUUUAGAGAAAUGGUAAUUACUAACAUCCUUUCUCAGUCAAGCCGACACUAACCAGGCCUACUGCUAGGUGUGUGUAUAUACACACUCACACUCAAUAGAUAAAUAGAUACGUGCAUAUACUCCAGGAAAAAUAUCUCUCUGGAAGGUGACAAGGUCUCACUUUAAAUCAAGUACCUGACACUAAUAAAAACAAUGUAUUCAGCCAGAAGAUCUCGCACACCGACUGGCUACAAGGAACAAAACAUUUGACUCUUGGGAAAAGCAAAACCAGUGCCCUGUGAUGCCUUCAUGCAUUAUGAGACUUGGACCUGACUACAGAUGAUUAUACACUGAUAAAUACUGCCACCAAUGCUCCAGUUGUACUGCUGGUCUUCCCAGGCAUGUUCAACACUGAGGAAAGCCUGAACACUGAUGCUCUCUCUCUGCUGGGUAUUGGAAAAACAGAAUAGAGGAGCAAGAGUGCAGCAGCAUCCCACCACCAGCCACAGGGUUGUCUUCAAAACAGGACGGGACUGAGUGGUACCAUAGGCAAGAGCCACAGGCAGAGGGGAGUUUGCCAAAACCUGUUAGAGCCCUGAUGGGUGACUGCUGUUCAAUGUGAAUUACAGCAACAGACGCCUGUUUGCCAGGGCAAUUGUGCAAGGAGAGAGCCUGUCUCUACAGCCAAUGUGGAAAUGGUGAAUGAAAAUGACCAAACAGCAAAAGCCUUUCUCAGCCUGCAUGGGCAGAUGUGUUGAGGUGCACAGUGCUCCCAAGCAGUGCAGAUUCAAAAUGCCUGGCAAUAAGAAUCGAGUUGAUGUCCAAGAGAUGAACAUAGAAAAUAAACAAAAAUUUGUAUGACUUAGUUCUGCUGAACUUGUGGGAGAUUAAAAAAUUUAAUUUCAAGUGAGAUCCAGCUUCUGCAAACAACCUAAACAUUGGAAAACAGAUCAUUCCUGCUCCCAGCACUCUCACAGCUGGAUGACAAGAGAUCUGGGAACAAUCUCUGUACUCUCUGUGCAUUGGUUGUAGCAUCUCUGGUGCUGUGGAAGUCCACAUCUGUGAUCUUUCAGCAAAUUCCCUCUGUGACACGCGGCGGCUUGAGGGAUGUCCAAGUGAUGUAAGUCUCGAGAGCAGCAUGAACAUAUAUAAAGAUAUAAAGCUCUUGGAGAGUGUCCAAAGAAGGGCAAGGAAGAUGGUGAAGGGCCUGCAGAGGAAGCUGCUGUGGUCACUUGGUUUGUUCAGCCUGGAGAAGAGGAGACUGAGGACAAAUACACCUUCCUCGUGAGGGAAGGAGCAGGGGCAGGCACUGAUCUCUCCUGUGUGGUGACAGGACCUGGGGAAACAGCACAAAGCUGAGUCAGGGAAGGUUUAAGGUCAGUAUUAGGAAAAGGUUCUUCACACAGAAGGUGGUUGGGAACUGGUCAUGGCAUCAAGACAGAGUUCAAUAAAUAUUUGAUCAACACUCUCAGGGCACAUGGUGUGAUUCUUGGGACUGUUCUGGACAGGGCCAAAAGUUGGACUUCAGUGUUCCUUGUGGGUCCUUUCCAACUCAGGAUAUUCUAUGAUUCUAUGAUUAGCAUUAACUAGCUGCCACUGUACAGCAAGCAUGGAAACCAAGGAAUCCUCCCUAUUACUGCUUCCAUUUUGUUGUUACCUCUUGGUUUCACACUAACUUCUGAAAAUAAAUCUAUUUUGCAUGCAGGAGUGGAAAUUAGUUUCAGGAUGAAGAUACAAUUUUAAAUUAAUAAUAAUACCAUGUCCACUGCAGCACAAUGCCAUCAGUCUCCAGCUUCAUUCUCAUUCUGUAACACAGCAAAGGUGUUAUUUCCAUGUGAAGGACAGAAAAGAAUACACAGCUUAUCUGAAGAAUCCUAAGGGUCAAAUACUGACACGACUGAGCAGGAAGCAAAUUUUGGAUGAAUAAUACCUUAUGAAAUGUACUACUUGGUUGACUAAUAAAAAGAACCUAGAGCUGUUAGCAUCCAUAACUGUAUUGUGUUUAUGUAACUCCAGACAGCACAGAAAUAGCCCUGAACAUAUGCUAUUUCUUUUCUUAGAAAACUACUGUAGUUCAUUCAAAGAUUAGUUCCCCUUUCCAGUGAGGGAAACAUUUCUUCUCACCUUUCCCAGAUUUUUGGAGGUUGCUGAAAUCUCAUGCACAGAGUCCUUAAAUCAUUGCCUGUUCUCUGCUCUUUGAGGACAUCUUUGGUGGAACCGUGCCUUGCUUUUAUUGGUUCCAGAGUCUUUCUAUCCUGUUUUCAUCUGCAACAUUUAAAAACACUCCUCACCACAUGGAAGCUGGGGAUCUGAUAGUACAAAUAUUUCACACUAAUAUCCAUUUGUUGAACUUACUUUUAUGCACAAGUCCUGAGAAGCUCUGUCUUACAGAUUUAAGAGGAUUUAGGAUCUUGUUUACUGCCUGGGGCAAUAACCAGACUUUCUUAUGGGACAUGCCAAGCUUUUGUGCAGACAUUGCAGAUACUGAGGCUCCCAUGUGUUUGGGAGAUGAACGCUCCAUGCUACAGAAGUGAUAGUUCAUGGGAUAAGCACCAGUGGGCAGAUUCAGAGAAGAUGUUUAUAUCAAGACUCAUGUUACUCACGCCAUGUCAGUUCCUUUUGAAGAAGAUAACGUGCCAUUUUUUUCUUUAAAACAAAAGAAAAAAACCCAACAAAAACCCAAAAACAACAAC